CAAUGCCUAGCACACACCCAGGUAACCACCCUACAGGGGCACAGAGCCUUUGUGCAGUGGGAUUCCAGAAUGCUUUUAGUGAGACCACUCAGCCUGGGUACUGAACUGCUCUUCAGCACUCUGAAACUGGCUGACCCUAUAGAAAGUGCCAUCCUAAUAAGUGUUGUUCAUCUUUAAGCAUAGAGUAAACCAGCUGAAAGACUUGUACAAUUUCAGAGGAGUUGCUCUGGUACUCAGAGGACCACAAAAAAUAUGUGUAUUUCACCAAGCACUGCACAAAAGAGGCACGUCUAUUAUGUGACUUCUGGGCACUGAUGGUAUGCUGCUGUUCUGCAAGCCCCAGGAUGGACCACACAUUUGCUUUUCAGGAAAUGUGUGUGCAAUUCCUUACUGCAGAAGAGAUAUAACUGGAUCGAGUGGAUCCUUAUGGGAAUAGCAGGAGACAUUUCCAUGAAAGAAAGCUUCCCUUUUUGCUGUGAGUGAGGUUCUUAAGCCAAAAUCAAGUGGAGAAUCUGAACACCUCAAAGAAAUGAUCUCCUGGCUUCCACUUAGGCAGACAGAUAUCAUCACUGUCCUUCGGCUACUAAUAUCUCUCACUGUAUAAAUGUACUGUUGCUUCUACUUGCCUUCCCAAAAUACAAUAUGAUGCUGAAGAUUCAUUCUGUUAAAUUGAGUGUGAUUCACAAAAACUGUGACUAGAUUCUUGUCACAGGAUAAUUUUUGUUAUCAGUAUUCCACAUCAUAAUAUCAUGUAGUUCACUGGGAGUUAAAGAGCUGAUGCUCCAAUUCCAUGGACUGUUGAUACUUUCAGGUACCUGGUUACCAGAAAAGAACUACAUCUCCUAGAAGACUUUCACUGCUCUGUUUCCAUUUUAUGUUCAGAAGGAAAGAUAAAACUGCUUGCAAGUCACAAGACUGCUCCUUUUUCUUUUACUGUUCAUCUCUGUGGUGUGUGUUCCCUAGCUGUCUCGCCUUCAGUAUUAGAGUAAGGCCAUCAGCUUUGAACACUCUCUCAUUUAUUUGGUUUAUUAUCUUCAAUCACAGUUAACUUGUAUUUCUGCUAUUACAAUUAGUAAAUUAACUUUCCUCCUCAGAUCAUUGCCACCACCACUGUUUUUUUUCUUAUUAUUGUUAUUUCUUUCCCUCUUUGUUCCCUUUGUUCCCUUUGUUCCCUUUGUACCCCUUCCACCACCCCCCUCUGCCCCCCCUUUUCCUUCUUUGGGAUGGUGGGCAUGUGGGCCUGCUGUCCCCCUGUCACAGGCACAUAAAGAUCUAGAGAUAAUUCCGUGACAUCACCUAAGAUGAUUAAGAGCACCUAGAGGUUGUUCUAAGUUUUUCCUGGGUGAAAACUUACAUGACCUAGGAAAGAAGAGAAUCUAUUCAUAAAACAGUGUAGGAGACAGUGUGUUAACAAAAAAAUUAAGCAUAGCCAAGAAGAAGAUGGACCUGGGACACAGAUGGGCAGAGGCUGGUGGGCAUUUUUUGUUCCUGGAACCUUUAAAGUCAAACUAUUCACUGCAAUAUGUGCAUAUAGUCACAUAUUCACUGCAUUCAUCCUGGCUUGUAUCAGAAACAGUGUUGCUAGCAGGAGCAGGGAUGUAAUUCUCCCUCUGUAUUCAGAACUGGUGAGGCCUUGCCUCCAGUACUGUGUUCAGUUUUGGGCCCCUCACUGCAAGAAAGACAUGGAGGCCCUGGACCACGCCCAGAGAAGGGCAACAAAGCUGG